AUGCUUACCUAGCAGGAGCAACCGUGAUUACGAAGGUGGUUUUCCCAGGGUGAGGCUUUUCUAUUGCACUCCGGAUGUGCUGACCCCGCGAUUUCCCCAAAUGUGGGGAGACUCAACUGCAUAAUCUCUGUUGGCACUC
ensembl:snRNA U1 U1 spliceosomal RNA